CCUACGGGUGGCAGCAGUCGAGAAUCAUUCACAAUGGGGGAAACCCUGAUGGUGCGACGCCGCGUGGGGGAAUGAAGGUCUUCGGAUUGUAAACCCCUGUCAUGUGGGAGCAAAUUAAAAAGAUAGUACCACAAGAGGAAGAGACGGCUAACUCUGUGCCAGCAGCCGCGGUAAUACAGAGGUCUCAAGCGUUGUUCGGAAUCACUGGGCGUAAAGCGUGCGUAGGCUGUUUCGUAAGUCGUGUGUGAAAGGCGCGGGCUCAACCCGCGGACGGAACAUGAUACUGCGAGACUAGAGUAGUGGAGGGGGAACCGGAAUUCGCGGUGUAGCAGUGAAAUGCGUAGAUAUCGAGAGGAACACUCGUGGCGAAGGCGGGUUCCUGGACAUUAACUGACGCUGAGGCACGAAGGCCAGGGGAGCGAAAGGGAUUAGAUACCCCAGUAGUC
rnacentral:rRNA from 1 species